rnacentral:rRNA from 1 species
GACGAACGCUGGCGGCGCGCUUAACACAUGCAAGUCGAACGGAAAGGCCUGCUUUCCCUUGUGGAUUGCGGGUACUCGAGUGGCGAACGGGUGAGUAACACGUGAGUGAUCUGCCCCCAACUUGGGUAUAAGCCUGGGAAACUGGGUCUAAUUCCCGAUAGGACUGCAGGGUGGUGCCUGUGGUGGAAAACGAUUUUCUAGUGGUUGGGGAUGAGCUCGCGGCCUAUCAGCUUGUUGGUGGGGUAAUGGCCUACCAAGGCGGCGACGGGUAGCCGGCCUGAGAGGGUGGACGGCCACAUGGGGACUGAGAUACGGCCCAGACUCCUACGGGAGGCAGCAGUGGGGAAUAUUGCACAAUGGGCGGAAGCCUGAUGCAGCGACGCCGCGUGGGGGAUGACGGCCUUCGGGUUGUAAACUCCUUUCGACCGCGAGGAAGCCACCUGGUUGGAAGGGUGGUGACGGUAGUGGUAGAAGAAGCACCGGCUAACUACGUG